rnacentral:rRNA from 1 species
GACGAACGCUGGCGGCGUGCUUAACACAUGCAAGUCGAACGGAAAGGCCCUGCUUUUGUGGGGUUCUCGAGUGGCGAACGGGUGAGUAACACGUGAGUAACCUGCCCUUGACUUUGGGAUAACUUCAGGAAACUGGGGCUAAUACCGUAUAGGAGCUCCUGCUGCAUGGUGGGGGUUGGAAAGUUUCGGCGGUUGGGGUUGGACUCGCGGCUUAUGAGCUUGUUGGUUGGGUAGUGGCUUACCAAGGCUUUGACGGGUAGCCGGCCUGAGAGGGUGACCGGCGACAUUGGGACUGAGAUACGGCCCAGACUCCUACGGGAGGCAGCAGUGGGGAAUAUUGCACAAUGGGAGGAAGCCUGAUGCAGAAACGCCGCGUGCGGGAUGACGGCCUUCGGGUUGUAAACAGCUUUCGCCUGUGACGAAGCGUGAGUGACGGUAAUGGGUAAAGAAGCACCGGCUAACUACGUG